CUAGACGUCUCUAUAUGAGGCCGGUUUCCAGAAGUCUCUAUCUUGAGGCAAUAUAGAGAACCACAGUUGAUCCUUAUUAAACCAAGCGUUGCAACCGACCUCAUACUUUUCCGGAAAUCUCUAUCAAAAUCGAAAUCCAAUCUGAUAAUCCACCGACAUCAGCGAUUAAAUAUGAUUCAUCCUUUUCGGGCAGCCUCUAUCCAAAUCGAGCUUCAUAUUCAACCGACCUUGGCCGGGGAAUUGAAAUCAAGAACAUCGCUGGGAUAGGAAGAAGAAGAAGAAGAGAUGUCCAAGAUUUUGGUCGACUUUCGGAGCAAAGUUUGGGUUUGUUUCGGAAAAGGUUGCUGCUAGAAUUUUGAUCGAGUUUGGGAGGAAGCUUUCAAUAGCCGUGUUCUUCGGGAAGCAUCUGUUUACACCGACCUCCACUGUUACACCCAAAUACCCAAAUCGUUGAUCCCAAUCGUGACACUACCAAUUCUUUGGUGUCGUCUACAGCCGUGUGAGAUGGUUGGAUUCUAUUCAAUCUUGAGCAUCAGAGCGCAAAUCAUCUAUUCCAUAAAAGGUCUGCUGUAGGAAAUCAUAUUGUCAAGAAAAAUUGUUUUUGUAGCCUGAAGUAUGUUGUGGUGGUAUUAGGAAGACUGAGGUGAAGAUUGCGGAUUCUGCAGAUAUUGAAUCAAAUUCACUGUUCACUGCAGAUUUUUCAAUAUAUGAUAGUGUUUAUAAAGUCAGAUUUCUAUAUGCAGCUGUACCGGUACAUUCAAGAAUCGGCAAGAAUCAUCAAGUUUUUCAUCAAGAUGAGGUUCUCUAGCUUGACGUCAAAUGCAUCUGUAUGCUGAGAGUUGGAAUGUUUUUGCAAGGUCUGAUGGCUGAAUUUGUUGGUUGUUAGAAAUCAGAACAAGCUUCAGAUCUGAAUGUUGGUGACCCAUCUACUGUGGAGGUGGCUACGAGUUGACCAUAGUACGAGUGGUAAGUUUUGUCAUCUAGGCAACAACCAAGGUAGAACUGAAAAAUUGAGGGUUAGAGAAGCUGGUGAGUUGCAAUGACCUGCGCCAAAUGAGACAAAGCUCAGAAGUCAACAAGGGCCAGGUAAUGUGAAAGCUAAUGCAGUGGAUUAUGAGAGUGUUGAAGCUGAUCAACGGAACCUGCUAUAUAAAGCUAAUGAAUUAAAUCAACAAAAUGUGCAAUCUAAAACUGCAGUAGUUGAACACAAACAAUAGGGUGGAGUGGAGAAACUUGGCCAAUGCUGCCUUGAAGAUAUCCGAGAUUACAAGCAUGGUGGAAAAAACAACUGAAGUUAGGAGAAUGAAGGAGGAAUUGCAAAGAUACACUUUAAUUUAGUUUAGAAAAACCAAACCCCCGCAGCAUCGCGC